GAUGAACGCUAGCUACAGGCUUAACACAUGCAAGUCGAGGGGAAACGACAUCGAAAGCUUGCUUUUGAUGGGCGUCGACCGGCGCACGGGUGAGUAACGCGUAUCCAACCUGCCCACCACUUGGGGAUAACCUUGCGAAAGUAAGACUAAUACCCAAUGAUAUCUCUAGAAGACAUCUGAAAGAGAUUAAAGAUUUAUCGGUGAUGGAUGGGGAUGCGUCUGAUUAGCUUGUUGGCGGGGUAACGGCCCACCAAGGCAACGAUCAGUAGGGGUUCUGAGAGGAAGGUCCCCCACAUUGGAACUGAGACACGGUCCAAACUCCUACGGGAGGCAGCAGUGAGGAAUAUUGGUCAAUGGACGAGAGUCUGAACUAGCCAAGUAGCGUGCAGGAAGACGGCCCUAUGGGUUGUAAACUGCUUUUAUAAGGGAAUAAAGUGAGUCUCGUGAGACUUUUUGCAUGUACCUUAUGAAUAAGGACCGGCUAAUUCCGUG
rnacentral:rRNA from 1 species